AUUGAACGCUGGCGGCAGGCCUAACACAUGCAAGUCGAACGGUAACAGGAAGAAGCUUGCUUCUUUGCUGACGAGUGGCGGACGGGUGAGUAAUGUCUGGGAAACUGCCUGAUGGAGGGGGAUAACUACUGGAAACGGUAGCUAAUACCGCAUAAUGUCGCAAGACCAAAGAGGGGGACCUUCGGGCCUCUUGCCAUCGGAUGUGCCCAGAUGGGAUUAGCUAGUAGGUGGGGUAGCGGCUCACCUAGGCGACGAUCCCUAGCUGGUCUGAGAGGAUGACCAGCCACACUGGAACGGAGACACGGUCCAGACUCCUACGGGAGGCAGCAGUGGGGAAUAUUGCACAAUGGGCGCAAGCCUGAUGCAGCUAUGCCGCGUGUAUGAAGAAGGCCUUCGGGUUGUAAAGUACUUUCAGCGGGGAGGAAGGGAGUAAAGUUAAUACCUUUGCUCAUUGACGUUACCCGCAGAAGAAGCACCGGCUAACUCCGUG
rnacentral:rRNA from 1 species